rnacentral:rRNA from 1 species
UCAUAACGACUCUCGGCAACGGAUAUCUCGGCUCUCGCAUCGAUGAAGAACGUAGCGAACUGCGAUACUUGGUGUGAAUUGCAGAAUCCCGUGAACCAUCGAGUCUUUGAACGCAAGUUGCGCCCGAAACCUUUGGUCGAGGGCACGUUUGCCUGGGUGUCACA